rnacentral:rRNA from 1 species
CGCGAAUGGCUCAUUACAACAGCUAUAAUUUACUUGAUCUUGACACAAUCCUACUUGGAUAACUGUGGUAAUUCUAGAGCUAAUACAUGCAUUAAAGCUCUGACCUCACGGGAAGAGUGCAUUUAUUAGAACAAAACCAAGCGGCUUCGGCUGUUUCUGGUUGACUCAUAGUAACUGAGCUGAUCGCAUGGUCUUGCACCGGCGACGUGUCCUUCAAGUAUCUGCCGUAUCAACUUUCGAUGGUAGUGUAUCUGACUACCAUGGUGAUCACGCGUAACGGAGAAUAAGGGUUCGGCUCCGGAGAGUUCGCCUGAGAAAUCGCGAACACAUCUAAGGAAGGCAGCUGGCGCGAAAAUUACCCACUCUCAGCACGAGGAGGUAGUGACGAAAAAUAACGAGACCGUUCUCUUAUGAGGCCGGUCAUCGGAAUGGGUACAAUUUAAACCCUUUAACGAGUAUCUAUGAGAGGGCAAGUCUGGUGCCAGCAGCCGCGGUAAUUCCAGCU